rnacentral:rRNA from 1 species
AUUGAACGCUGGCGGCAUGCUCUACACAUGCAAGUCGAACGGCAGCGCGGGCUUCGGCCUGGCGGCGAGUGGCGAACGGGUGAGUAAUACAUCGGAACGUGCCCAGUAGUGGGGGAUAGCUCGGCGAAAGCCGGAUUAAUACCGCAUACGACCUGAGGGUGAAAGCGGGGGAUCUUCGGACCUCGCGCUAUUGGAGCGGCCGAUGGCAGAUUAGCUAGUUGGUGGGGUAAAGGCCUACCAAGGCGACGAUCUGUAGCUGGUCUGAGAGGACGACCAGCCACACUGGGACUGAGACACGGCCCAGACUCCUACGGGAGGCAGCAGUGGGGAAUUUUGGACAAUGGGCGAAAGCCUGAUCCAGCAAUGCCGCGUGUGUGAUGAAGGCCUUCGGGUUGUAAAGCACUUUUGGCGGGAACGAAAAGGACUGUGCCAAUACCACGGUUCGAUGACGGUACCCGCAGAAUAAGCACCGGCUAACUACGUG